GCAUAUAAUUAGGCGGAGGAAAAGAAAUUAACGAAGAUUUCCUUAGUAACNGGCGAGUGAAAAGGAAUUAGUUCAGCGCUGAAUCCCUUAGCCCGUGGUUAAGGGACCUGUGGCGUGAAGGAGAGCCUAUCUGUCGGGUUAUUGCUUCGGAAGCUCCCUCGAAUGGGAUCCCAAAGCAGGUGCGAGGCCUGUGCCGAGGUUGGACCCGUCAGCCGGAGCCUCCGUAGAGUCGGGUUGCUUGAGAGUGCAGCCCUAAGCGGAAGGUAAACCCCUUCUAAGACUAAAUACGACCACGAGACCGAUAGCGAACAAGUACCGCGAGGGAAAGUUGAAAAGAACUUUGAAGAGAGAGUUCAAAAGGGCGUGAAACCGCUUAGAAGAAAACGGACAGAGCCGUCUGGUACCCUCGGGAAUCAGUCGAACGAUACGCGAAUCGACGACGGUACCAUAGCGCAAGUAUGGCCGCCGAGAAACAGUAGCGUUCGUUCGGCGCAUUUCCUGAGGGCUCGCACUGCGACCGGUAAUCCGGCCGACGAGGCUUGAGGAUUGAGGGCGAGGUACGCAAGUAUCUCGUAACCAGUCCUUUCGUUCCGACGGACCGACUUACCGAUAGCCUGGAAAUAGUACGCGUCGGCUGUAAAGCUCGUCUAGUAACGUACAGUCGGCAGAUUCGUUGGUAACCGCUCGCGGGUGCCGGUGGAUUCGGUUGAUUCGGAAGUUACGGGCGACGUUCGGCGCGUCGGCGUCAGCAGUGUCAGUGUCGGUCGCCUGUCCGACCCGUCUUGAAACACGGACCAAGGAGUCUAACAUAUGCGCGAGCUAUUGGGUGUAAAACCCAAAAGCGCAAUAAAAGUAAAAGCCGUCUUUAGUCGGCCGAGGUACGAUCCUAGGAGUAAAAUCCCUAGGCGCAGUACCGUCCCGUCCCGACCGCACGUCGGUAGGGCGGAGACAGAGCGCAUACGUCGGGACCCGAAAGAUGGUGAACUAUGCCUGAGCAGAGCGAAGCCAGAGGAAACUCUGGUGGAGGUUCGUAGCGGUUCUGACGUGCAAAUCGAUCGUCAGACUUGGGUAU
rnacentral:rRNA from 1 species